CGCGAAAAGUAAGACAUAUGUCUUACUUUCGGGGUACGGCUUAUAUUAGCCGACCCCCCUGAAACUCCCGAUACGUCUUACAAUCGGGGGUGUCUUACUAUCGGGGAAACAAGGUAUCUGUUAGUUUUACGGCG